rnacentral:rRNA from 1 species
AUGUUGGGUUAAGUCCCGCAACGAGCGCAACCCUCACUUUUAGUUGCCAUCAUUUAGUUGGGCACUCUGAAAGAACUGCCAGUGAUAAGCUGGAGGAAGGUGGGGAUGACGUCAAGUCCUCAUGGCCCUUACGUGUUGGGCUACACACGUGCUACAAUGGCAUUUACAAUAGGAAGCAAAACGGCGACGUUAAGCAAAUCCUCAAAAGAUACCUCAGUUCGGAUUGCACUCUGCAACUCGAGUGCAUGAAGCUGGAAUUACUAGUAAUCGUGGAUCAGCGUGCCGCGGUGAAUACGUUCCCGGGUCUUGUACACACCGCCCGUCACACCAUGGGAGUUGGUUCUACCUUAAGGCAAGGUUUUAAACCCUUGACCACGGUAUAGUCAGCGACUGGGGUGAAGUCGUAACAAGGUAGCCGUAGGGGAACCUGCGGCUGGAUUACCUCCUUU